UUUUUGCCUUUCCUAGGGCCACUCCCACGGCAUAUGGAGGUUCCCAGGCUAGGAGUCUAAUUGGAGCUGUAGCCGCCAGCCUAUGCCAGAGCCACCGCAACGCGGGAUCCAAGCCGCGUCUGCAACCUACACCACAGGUCACGGCAACUCUGGAUCCUUAACCCCUUGAGCAAGGCCAGGGAUCGAACCCUCAACCUCAUGGUUCCUAGUCUGAUUCGUUAACCACUGCGCCACGAUGGGAACUCCAGUAACUGUUCCUUUUAGAACAAAGAAUACCUAACACUUUUUGAUCCACAUUCCCUACCCAGUUACUGUUGGAGACAUUUGAGCUCAUGAUCUCUGACCUAAUUUAAUAGCCAGAUAUAAAAUUGUACAUAGAAACAUCAAAUAUGCACAUAAAAUGAGUCCUCCCAAAAUGUUUUAUGUGGUUAUAUUAGAAUUCUAGUAUUAUGGUUAAUUUUUUUCACUAUUUAAAAGUUUUCUGGAGUUCCACUGCGGCUCAGCAGGGUAAGAACAUGACAGUCUCUGUGAAGAUGCGGUUUUGAUCCCUGGCUUCGCUUAGUGAGUUAAGGGUAUGGUGUUAUAAGCUGUGGUACAGAUAUGUGGCUUGGAUCCAGUUGUUGUGGCUGUGGCGUACGCCUCAGCUGCAGCUUUGGCUUGACCCCUACUCUGGGUACUUCCAUUUGCCACAGGGGUGGCCAUAAAAAGAAAAAAAAGUUCUGCAUUAGUUUUGCAUAUAUUAAAAGAGGGUGGAAGUUGACCUAAGUCAGUGUGACCAUUCAGCAGAUGUCCAAUCUUUUAGUAAACUGCAGUGAUGUCCAGCAAUUACAAGAGGUGAAGGCCAUAUGUCUCUUGUCCCAUAACCUUGCAACUGAGCGGUAUGUUACAAUGAAAGCAAAACUUAGCCCAAAUUCUUUUAAACGUACACCACUUAUUAGACAAGAAGUACGAACUUGCUUCCUGUAAUCCCAGAGAAGCACCCUCCCCCCCUUUUCUUUUCUCAGGACUCACUGAAUUGAAAUAAAAGUUUGAAAGAAACUUGAGUGAAAGUUUCAUUCUUAGGCAGACACAGCAAUGUUCUAAUAACUGAAUCAGAUGACUCAGCAUCAGGUCUUUGAAGUGGGAAAAGGACAAGCAGUGCUCUGGCUCCUUCAGCACCGCCGAUCCUAACAGAUUCUUAACACUGUCAUCCUACAAACACGGUGGAACCCAGACAGUCUUUCUACCUAACCACCUCUCCCGAUUGCUAUUCAUUUCCUAAGUGGAAACUCAUUCCUAACAUACUUUAUGCAACUUAAUGAGCUUUCUGGUAUAAAUUUUGAUAAAGAUGAUUGAAAUGUUUAAGCAACAAUCUUAGAAAGUGGAUGCCUGGUUAGGGGAUGCUUUUUUUAAUUCCUUUUUGGCUUCACCUGUGGCAUGUGGAAGUUCCCAGGGCCAGGGAUCGAACCCGUGCCACAGCAGCAAUCCAAGCUGCAGCAGUGACAAUGCCAGAUCCUUAACCUGCUGUGCCACAGGGGAACUCCU
rnacentral:lncRNA from 1 species